rnacentral:rRNA from 1 species
GUUUCCGUAGGUGAACCUGCGGAAGGAUCAUUGCACACACGAGUUGCAGCCAACCCGCGGCGAACGAACACAUUGUCCCCCUUCGGUGGGUCGCGGCGCCUCGCGGCGUCGCGGUCUGCCACCUCCCUGCGUCGCGCUCGCGGCGCGGGGUGUCCACACGAUGCGUCCACCGAAUGACUGAGUCCCGAAUCGACUCGAGAGGAUUGAGCUCCGCGGCCCCCCUCCCCGGGGGGCCGGCGCCGGUCACCUUGCGAGUUGGAACACGUAAGCCGAACAACUCUCAGCAACGGAUAUCUUGGCUCUUGCAACGAUGAAGAACGCAGCGAAAUGCGAUACGUAUUGUGAAUUGCAGAAGUCCGCGAAUCAUCGAGUUUUUGAACUCAAGUUGCGCCCGAGGCUUUUCCGAGGGCAUUUCCGCUAGAGCGUCACCGCGACCCCCCCCACCGACCCACUCCCGAGUGAGUGUCGAGUGAAAGUGGCCAUCCCGGCGGCCUCCCCCUCCUCCUUCGAGAGGAGGGGGCUUAGGGUCUUAAGGGUUGGCUGAAAUGGAAGGAAUCGGGCCGCCGUGGUGACCCAGCCCGCGAUCAGGUGAUCCGGACUCUUCCGGGAGUCCCGGACUUCGAAGUGCGUGGCUGCGUCCCCCAGUCGGUUCGUGGUUCCCUCACGCAGGUCGAGCGCGCCCCCGCGGCGCGCGUCACGCAUCAGACCUCUAAUCGGGAAAGACCACCCGCUGAG